AGUGUCGCUAGUUGACCGUUCGCCGAACCGAGUCGAAACGCAUGCGCGUUGCGUGAAAAGUGUUCGUUUCGUCGUGCGUCACAGAGAAGAAAAAGGGAGGAGAUUACUUUCCGUGUACAACCCGGUGUAUAUACCCAACGAAUCCAACGUUUGUUUGAGACAAAGUCAGGGUUAAAGCGAGGCUGAGUCUGUGGAAGCAGGGCGUAGCGAGGUUGGCGAAGCCAAGACAGCGAGCGAGCGAGCGAGGGUAUGGGGUGAGCGGAGGAGAGAAAGACGAGGCGAGGCGACGUGAGGCGAGGCGAAGCGAGGUGAGACGAGGGGUGGGGAGAGAAACGGCACAGGAUACGUUCGUUCGGUACGAACGAACGGUACGGAACGGAACGGAACGGAACGGAACGGAACUGUGCACCGUGCGACUUGUGUGUGUUGUGUGUGUGUUGUGUGUUUGUGUGUAUACGCCGAAGGAGAGAAGUGAAGUGAAGUGAAGAGGAGAGGAGAGAGAAAGACAGAGAGAGAGAGAGCCAGGUCGAGAUAUGCCCUGCCUACGGGUGCAACGACCCCGGUGACCUUUGUCCGGUCCGUGCUCCGGCCUGGCCCCGCUCGAUUCCACCGUCUCCUACCUCCAGGAGGGACGACGAUGCGCAUCAACCUACCACCGGCCAAUCUUCUUCCCGCUCGCCUUUCUAACCUGUGCCCGGUGUCGGCGAGAAUCGGCGAUCGCCAGCAACGGGCUGCUCGAGCCUCUCGCGCCUUGCCAAAGGAUUUGCACGAUGAAAUUUUCGUUAACCGAUUGACGGGGCCAGGAUGGGGGCUCCUUGCGAGGAGAGGAGUAGCAGUCGAGAAUUGACGCCUCUCUCUCUCUCUCUCUCUCUCUUUAUGCAGAAUUAUAUAUAGUGGAAUAUAUGUUAUUAUUGGAGGUGGAGAAUAAAAUGUAGGUUAGGAAGCGAUCGAAAGUGAAUUUCUCGACAAAAAUUUAGGAAUAAUUGUGAUGGAUUAUUUGAAGUAAUUGGAAUUAUUGUUCUCGAGACAUAGGAAUUUCGAUUGUUUGAAAUAAUUGAAAUUAAGAAAUAGUAAUCGAGAUUUAAGUUGUAUAGGUUAGGUAAUAAUCGAAAGUAAGAAUUACGAUGCUCUCGUAAGUAAAAGGUGGAUUGUUCGAAGUAAUUGAAAUUAAGAAGUAGUUUUCGAAAUUUGGAAAUAAGUUUGCAAUAAUAAUAAUAGUAUAAUAAUUUGAUAGUUCUCGAAACAUGGUUGUAAUUAUAAAAGAGCGUGGAUUGUUCGAAGUAAUUAAAAUUAAAAAGUAGUUUAGACUUGGGUUGUAUAGGUUAGGAAAUGAUUGAAAAUAAGAAAUAAAACUUAGGAAUAAGUUUGCAAUUAAAAUUAAGAAAUAGCUUUCUAGAAACUUUGGAUUUUGAAAUUAAUUGAAUUUGAUAUAAUAAUAAAUAAAAAUAAGUUUGCAAUCGAAUAUAAUAAGAACUUGAAUUAUUCGAGGUAAUUGAAAUUAAAAAGUAGUUAUCGAUGCUCUCCAAUAUGUGAUAGAACAAUAGAAAAUUGGGGAGAAAUUUUUAAAAAAAAUUACCGAUCGUCAAAUUGCACUUCAAAUCAUAUUUCGAUAUCCAACUUCAAUUCUUCCUUUCUCCAAUGGAAAACUAGCUCAACGAUCCGUACAAUGGAAUUCGUAAUGAGAUAAAAAAGAUGAAGAUUCCGCUCCCCGCUAUUUUAAAUGCUCGUCCUCUACCCCCCCCCCCCUCCCCUGGAAGUACGAGAGUACGCGGUUUGAAUAUAAAUUCCUUCCAAUUAACCAAUUUUUCACGGAGAAUAUGUUGUUACCGAGUGUAUAUAGCUGUAGAUUUAGAUACACGGAAACGGGAUUUUCUUGUUGUUAUUAAUGGGCCGCGCCGUUCGGAAACUUGGUCGAUUGAACUCGAUUAAACUCGGCAACUUUCGGAUUCGCGCGCACUCGGAAGAAUCAAAGAUGACGUACAAUGGGCCAUUACGGCCGAAAGCCGAAACCUCAUAUCCAUUGUAUCCAUCGACUUGAAACAAGAAUUUCUCUCCCCUCUCUCCGCCCGUGUUAUUUGAACGAAGAGUUAAAAAUAAUGGACCAUUAUAUUAUCCUACGAAGCUACCUCUUGUCCAUUGUGCAACUCUCUGUACACAAAGAAGAGCGGAGGAAAAAUCUACUCUUAUUCGAGGUUAAAAAACGACGUUUCAACGAGCCACUGUAAAUAAGAAUAAUAUCAAACGUUUAUAUAUAUAUGUAUAUAUAUAUAUACAUUUCUUGUAUAUGUAUAUAUCGUCCCUACGAGAUCUCGAAAAACAUUUCUUGCCUCGGCGACCGUUGUUGUUGUUAUUAUUAUUAUUAUUAUUAUUACUUCUAGCUAUAUUUAGAAGAUGGAUCGCGAGCCGUUGGUUGAAGGUUGUCGGAUCUAGGAUCUAGUUCUCACGCGGGACGUGAAGGAGGAAAAUAAUCGUCGCGAUGGCGAGGUUUUACCCGUGAAAGUGUAUCCCAUCCCCAGUGGAGGGGAAGGACGGGUCAUCUUUCGAGGAUCCUCCAUCGAUUUUUUCGGUUAUACGUCGAAGAUGAUUCUUCGUAUUUAUAUAUAUAGAACUCGAGUUUGUGAAGCAAAGGAGGAUAGUUUGAUUAAUUGUUCGCUACGCGGCGCUGUUCGAGCGCUGUCUUCGCCUAUUUCGUCCAAUUCUGGAUGGAGCUUGGACGACUUUUAACCACCGUUCUUAUCGAUCUUCUCGACAAAACUCUUGUUCGCAAUUUUUUUUUAAUCCCUCGCCUCGGAGAUUUCGGAAUUUUCGAGAAUUCUCGUUGAUUCUGCAUCGACUUCUGCAAGAUAUGGGAAAUCUGCGCGAUCAAGAGAAAGGGAGGAAAAUCGCGUUUUAAGCGUUUAAGCGUUUUCGCGUUUGUAAUCGUUUCGGAUAAAAUGGUGGAAUCAUCGCUCUCUUCCUCCGUUUCUUGUUAUUCGAUGAAUGAGAAGAAAGUAGAUUUCACGUAGAUUUUUUUUUUUUUUUUUUUGAGAAAUUAUAUAGAAGUUUAGUGAAAUGAUAUCUCGAAAGAAGAUUUUCACGCCAAAUUUUUAUUUCGUUCGCGACAGAUAAAUUCCAUAGACAGAACUAAAUUAUAUUCUAAAAUUUCGUCGAUAAUAAUAACGUUAAACAAAAUGGCGGAUUAAUCUUUUCCCUCGUCGCUUACAGGACGAAAGUAGAUUUAUGGAUUUUGAGAAAUUAUAUUAUUUGUUAAAAAGAAAGUUUAAUUCUGUUGAAAAAAAAGAUUUUUUUAUUUUAUUUUUCGAAUUUAUUUCUCCAUUUAUAUCGCGAUCGAAGUAAAGUAAAAGCAAGAAUUAAUCCGCCAUUUUGUUCAGCGUUAUUUAUAGGUGAAAUUUUAGAAAUUACGACGCACACAUAAAAAAAAGUGUAUUUAUGGAAUUUAUCCGAGCUCCAUCUCUCGUGAAAAUAAAUUUUAAAAAUCUUUCGAACACGUCCUGUUUUUAGCAGGAUUGAAAAAAAGAAUUAAUCCGCCAUUUUGCUCAGCGUUGAUACGCACGGUUGAUAAAUAAACAUGCAUUUACGGAAUUUAUUUAUUCGAGCUCCAUCUCCCGUGAAGAUAAAUCCUGAAAUUUUUACCACUAGACUUUACCUCGAUAUAAUUUCUCGAAAUUUGAAAUCUCCUUUCUUCCAUUCCCCAAAAAUAACCAAACGGAAUCAAUCCUCCAUUUUGUUUCAACCGUUAAUGCCGUUUAACCAUUAUGCGCGCGAAUUAUGCGCACGAAGCGAUAAGUGAAAUACUAAGCGCAUGCAUUUACUAACUCCAUCUAUCGUGAAAACAAAUCUUGAAAAGUCUCGAAAUAUUUCGCACGAAACUUCUGAAAUUUUUCAAUGUAUAAUAAACCAUAUCGAUUUAAUUACAGUUACUCGUGAAAUGUUAGAAAUUAUAUAGUAGAUCACAUCAGUAAUCGUUCAGAAUUAGAGCGAAUACGAUUCGACGUUGAGCAUUGACUCGAUCUGUGGAUUCGUAGGAGCCGAUGUGCCAAGAAUUCUUCGGGAAAGAAGUGCGGAUAGAUGGAGCCGCGCACGAUACAGGAGAGCGAAGGAUCGUAGGAGCGGAAGGGAAGAAGGUAGAAAAUUAUAUCACACGGCAUCUCUCGGCUCUCUUCUCUACGUAACGCGCAUACGUAAUGAGGAAACGAACGACCGGCCGAACGAGAGCGCGCGCAUGCCGCGCUUCCCUUUCCACUCCUCCUUCCCCCUCCCCGCCCCUUACCUAUCCUUCGCUCCUAGGCCGCGUCACCAUUCGUUUUCAUCCUCGCGGGCCGUGAAACGAACGCUGCGAAGCGAGCGCGAUCGUUUCCUCCCGUUAACGAGAGAGUCGGCCGUGGGAUCUCGGGAAAAAGAUUUUCGAGAAAAAUUCCCUUGCAUAUGUAUAUGGCGUAUAUGUGGUGCAAGUAGUUUUUUUAAUUUGUUCGAUUGGAAUUUUGAGAAAAAUUAAUUUAAUCCUCGAUGAUUUUUUUUUUCUUCGCGGAAAAGAUUUCUCGAGAAUUUUGAAACGUGAAAUUUAUAAAAUUAUAAAUUUCAAUCUUUUCUAUAAUUCAAGAUAGAAUUUUGGAUUUUAAGAUGUUAAGAUGUAAAUUUGAGAAAAAAUUUAUCGAUUCAAUAUUAUCAAUUUCAAUCUUCUCUAAUUUCCCUUUAUCGAAACGAGUGGAACUCAAAAUUCUUCUCUACGACAAUAUUCGUGGAUGGAAUUUUGUCUAAAAAAUACGAAAGUUUCAAUCCUGUUUAAUUUUUCUGAAUUUAAAAAAAAAAACUUCUCUAAUCUUUCUCUAAUAAUCUCUUAACAUUUCAUCGAAAUAAGAAAUAAGCAAGAAUAUAGAAAAUAAUAUAUUGUUUAUUACAUAAUUAUAUUAUCACAUAAAUUAGGCGAGCAAGAAUAUAGAAAGAAAAGAAGAACUGGAAAUUCACAACACUUGUUUGUUACUUUUGCCGAGGAAAAAAAGAUAAACAAAUAAAUCAUCAUUGCGAAGCAAAUUAAAUAUUAAGAUAAAAGGCGAAUGUACAAUAUAUAUAUAUACUCGCGGUUUCUUGGCGCGGUUUCGUAAUCUCUCGAACCGUCUUUCAAAUAAAAAUAUAUCUCGCUCGACGCGAAAGAUUAUUACGCUUAAUAGCUCUUUUUUUUGCCGGCUCGGUCUCGCUUAGAAAAAGGAAAAACCUAUAUAUAUAUAUAUAUAUAUAUAUAUAUAUAUAUAUAUAUAUAUAAAAGGCCAUGUUCUCGAUAUACCCGUUGGCCGUGAAGUUUUUCACCAUGUCACGUAUAUCAUAGAUCAACAACGACCAACUUUAUUCCACGUAAUUCCGCGACAAAAACUGCGUUUAUGCGCAGGUUUUUUUCUCCCCUCCCCUCCCUCCUUACCCACGUCUUGCGAAGAUAUCUAUGUCUGGCGACAAUUUUUUCCAACGAGUUUAUCGUUUAAAACGUUGCAACGUUGCAAAUCUUCAGGGAAGAAAAAAAAAAAAAAAAGAAAAA